GGCUCUGUGGCACAAUAGAAAGCAUGUUGGCUUUCUAAGCUAUGCUGCUUAGUUUGAGCCAGGCCACUGCUUCAGAGUUUGUGGGUUCAAAUCCCACCAGAGUCA
rfam:Pelodiscus sinensis unplaced genomic scaffold scaffold5409, whole genome shotgun sequence.